rnacentral:rRNA from 1 species
UAGUCCACGCCGUAAACGAUGGACACUAGUUGUUGGAAUUAUUCAGUGACUAAGCGAAAGUAAUAAGUGUCCCACCUGGGGAGUACGAUCGCAAGAUUGAAACUCAAAGGAAUUGACGGGGGCCCGCACAAGCGGUGGAGCAUGUGGUUUAAUUCGAUGAUACGCGAGGAACCUUACCAGGGCUUAAAUGUAGACUGACAGCUUUAGAGAUAGAGUUUUCUUCGGACAGUUUACAAGGUGCUGCAUGGUUGUCGUCAGCUCGUGCCGUGAGGUGUCAGGUUAAGUCCUAUAACGAGCGCAACCCCUAUCGUUAGUUGCUAGCAGGUAAAGCUGAGGACUCUAGCGAGACUGCCGGUGCAAACCGCGAGGAAGGUGGGGAUGACGUCAAAUCAUCACGGCCCUUACGUCCUGGGCUACACACGUGCUACAAUGGACUGUACAGAGGGCCGCGAAGCCGCGAGGUGGAGCUAAUCUCAGAAAACAGUCCUCAGUUUGGAUUGCAGU